UGAGAGAGGGUGGGCAGAAGGCUUAGUGAGAAGCAGUGGAGUUUUGCUGCCUCAUGGCUAGCCUGGAGAAUUCUCUCAUGGGAGGACAUCUGCAGAUCCUUGAGAGACCGGCUUGCAGGAAGCUUGAAUUCUCUCCUGGUGUUUGGGAUGCAGGUGAGGAAGUGACUAUCCUGAAUCAGCGCCUGGAUGAAGCAAUGGACUAGAUGAGGGUGAACAAGCUGAGACUCAGUCCGGACAAAACAGAAGUACUGCAGUUAAAGAUAAAUGGAAUUCUCAUGUGCCGUCACUGAAAACCUGUGGGAAAUGGACUAUGAAAGAAUCAUUGGAACUUUUUAAAAGGCUGAUGCUUUUCACUGUACUUCUUGAGCACUGGCCUGCUUGCCCUUUAGAUGAGAAGCUGCAAGACAAUGCAAAGUUCCUACAGGAGCAACCUGACUUUCUGGUCAGUCCCAGAGUUUGUCUGAAGACGCAGGUGAGGCAGUGACUGCCCUGAAUCAGUGCCUGGAUGCAGUAAUGGACUGGAUGUGGGUGAACAAGCUGAGUCUCAGUCUAGACAAGAGGGAAGUACUGAUGGUUGCUGAUUCCUCUGCCCGGGUGAAUGAUGAUCAGCCUGUUCUAGAUGGGGUUGCACUCCCCAAUUGCAGUUUGGGAGUGUUCAUUGAUCCAGCACUGUCACUAGAGUCUCAAGUGGCCUCUGUGGCUCAGAGCACCUUUUAGCUCUUGGCCACAGUUACUCAUGCUCUGGUAACCUCUUGCUUAGAUUACUGCAAUGCAUUGUACGUGGGGCUGCCUUUGAAAAUGGUCCAGAAACUGCAGCUGGUACAUACUAGGGCUGCAAAAUUAUUAACUGGGCCUGGAUGUUUUGAUCAUAUUGCACCCGUGCUUCGUCAGCUACACUAGCUCCAUUUGUGGGCCCAAUUCUAAGUGCUGCUCUUAAUCCUUUAAAGCCCUAAAUGGCUUGGGACCAGUUUACCUGGGAUAGUGCCUUGCCCCAUAUGUCCCAACCCAAUCCUUAAGUUCUUCUUUGGAGGUUCUCUGAGUGCCCCUGCCAAUUGAGGUGAGGCUGGCUUCAUCACUUUGUUUUUUUAGAUGCCUGGUAAAGACCUUCUGUUCACUCAAGCCUUUUACAUUUUGAUUUUCAAAUUUGAUUUUAAGUGAAUUUAAAACAGUUUUUAAAUUACUUUGUAUUGUAUUUUGUAUUGUCUCUCCCCACCCCUGCCCUUUUGGACUGUUUAUGAUUUAAUUUGUUUGUUUUUAUUUCAUGUUUUAUUGUUGUAUUGCGAGCCGCCCAGAGAACAAUUUGUUUUGGGGCAGCUAAUAAAUUUCACAACACACAGUUGUGUUUGCUAAUGCAGCAUGUUAGACCAGCACAAGUUGCUGUCCUAUCCCAAUUAUAAUUGUGUAUACUUAAAAAAUGUGAUUUUAAUAUAAGCAUAUUGACAGAUACUUUUUAAAUGAGCAAUGGCAUAUUUUCUUGUUUAUAUGAAGUAGACAACUUAAUCCUUCCUUCUGUUUCUCCUCCCCGCAAAUAAUAAUUCUUUGUACUUUCUCAGCCUUUUAUAAACUGAGUCCCUGAGACACCAUUAAUAUUGGGUAGUUGACAUUAAAAAGCAACAGGCUAAAUAGUUUGGUCUCAAUGGCUCAACCCAACAUGUAUUUGUAAUAUCAAAGAAAUCUAAGUAUUGAUUUGAUUUAGUGUUUAUGACGAGCCACUUCAUUUCCCCAUAAAAUUCAGGGGAGUACAGGUACCAACAUACAUUACAUUUUCAUUAUUAAUUUGGUUUCUUUUUCUUUUUACUCACAGUGUUGAUAUGAGAUCCGCCUGGAGAACCUGUGUUGGUUCUGAGAUCCGGUGUAUUUGUUAUGAUCACCAUAUGGAGGUCAUAAUAAAUAUUUUGAAUCAGAGUUGGUGUGAUGUCUGCUCCAAGUUCUUUCCUGCAGUACUGGCAAAGCACCACACUCUGUGAGUCCCCUGAGCCUGGAAGUUGCAGGAGAUCCUGGAAGUCUGUGCCCUUCCUCUGAUCAUCUUGGGUGCUCCAUCCAAAGUGCAAAUGGAAGUACUGUUGGGGAGGUGGACUCUUUGCUGGUCUUGGUUUCUUAGCAAAUACUUGAUCCUGCCAUCCUCUGGAGUUACUUCUGCUCACCUUAUACAAGCCUGGACACUUUCAACAUGGUGGUUGGUUGAUUGAUUGAUUUAUUAAGUGCCGUCAAGUCGGUGUCGACUCUUAGCGACCACAUAGAUAGAUUCUCUCCAGGAUGCUCUGACUUCAACUUGGCCUUUAAUGUCUCUCAGUGGUGCAUUCAUUGCUGUCAUAAUCAAGUCCAUCCACCUUGCUGCUAGUCGUCCUCUUCUUCUCUUUCCUUCAACCUUUUCCAGCAUUACUGACUUACGGGAGCUGGAUCUUUGCAUAGUGUGUCUGAAGUAUGAUAGUUUGAGCCUGGUCAUUUGUGCCUUGAGUGAAAAUUCUGGAUUGAUUUGUUUGAUGAUCCAUUAGUUUUCCUGGCUGUCCGUGGUAUCCUCAAAAGUCUUCUCCAGCACCAAAGUUCAAAAGCAUCAAUACUUUUUCUAUCUUGCUUCUUCAGAGCCCAGCUUUCACAUCCAUAGAGUGUCAUAAGAAAAACCAUUGCAUGAAUGAUUCUAAUCUUUGUAGGUAUAGAUACAUCAUGGCACCUAAAUAUCCUUUCCAAGGCCUUCAUUGCAACACUACCAAGUGCUAGUCUGCGACGUAUUUCUUGACUGCUGGAUCCUUUACUGUUGAUGGUUGAUCCCAAAAGGCAGAAGCUAUCCACCACUAAAUGUCUUCAUUAUCAGUUCUGAGGCUAGUUGCGUUGUCAAUAGUUUAGUCUUCUUUACCUUUAGUCAUAGUCCCAUUUUUUCACUCUGCUCCUUAACUUUCAUUACUAGAGCUUGCAGUGGUGUCAUCUGUAGCGCAGGUUAUUGCUGUUUCUUCCUCCAACAUUAAAACUAUGCUCAUCUUCUUCUAAUCCAACUUCUCUCAGUAUAUGUUCAGCAUAUGAGUUGAAUAAGUAAGGAGAAUGUAUACAGCCUUGUCUUACUCCUUUGCCGAUCUAGGAUCAGUCUGUUUCACCAUGUUCCAUCCUGACUGUGGCUUCCUGUCCUGUGUAUACGUUUCUCAUUAGAACAGUGAGAUGUUCUGGGACACCCAUUUUGCUAAGGACAUUCCACAACUUGACAUGGUUGAUGCAAUCAAAUGCUUUUCUGUAGUAAAUAAAGCAGAUAUUGACUUCUUCCUCAAUUAUCCACUAUGCAUCAGCAAUGAUGUCUCU